GAUGAACGCUGGCGGCGUGCCUAAUACAUGCAAGUCGAGCGAACAGACGAGGAGCUUGCUCCUCUGACGUUAGCGGCGGACGGGUGAGUAACACGUGGAUAACCUACCUAUAAGACUGGGAUAACUUCGGGAAACCGGAGCUAAUACCGGAUAAUAUAUUGAACCGCAUGGUUCAAUAGUGAAAGACGGUUUUGCUGUCACUUAUAGAUGGAUCCGCGCCGCAUUAGCUAGUUGGUAAGGUAACGGCUUACCAAGGCAACGAUGCGUAGCCGACCUGAGAGGGUGAUCGGCCACACUGGAACUGAGACACGGUCCAGACUCCUACGGGAGGCAGCAGUAGGGAAUCUUCCGCAAUGGGCGAAAGCCUGACGGAGCAACGCCGCGUGAGUGAUGAAGGUCUUCGGAUCGUAAAACUCUGUUAUUAGGGAAGAACAAAUGUGUAAGUAACUAUGCACGUCUGGACGGUACCUAAUCAGAAAGCCACGGCUAACUACGUG
rnacentral:rRNA from 1 species